rnacentral:rRNA from 1 species
GACGAACGCUGGCGGCGUGCCUAAUACAUGCAAGUCGAGCGGAAGUUGGAGAGCUUGCUCUUCAACUUUAGCGGCGGACGGGUGAGUAACACGUGGGCAACCUGCCCUGCAGAUCGGGAUAACUCCGGGAAACCGGUGCUAAUACCGAAUAGUUUUCGCCACCUCCUGGUGGCGUACGGAAAGACGGUUUCGGCUGUCACUGCAGGAUGGGCCUGCGGCGCAUUAGCUAGUUGGUGGGGUAACGGCCCACCAAGGCGACGAUGCGGAGCCGACCUGAGAGGGUGAUCGGCCACACUGGGACUGAGACACGGCCCAGACUCCUACGGGAGGCAGCAGUAGGGAAUCUUCCGCAAUGGACGAAAGUCUGACGGAGCAACGCCGCGUGAGUGACGAAGGUUUUCGGAUCGUAAAACUCUGUUGUGAGGGAAGAACAAGUACCAAUUAACUACUGGUACCUUGACGGUACCUCACCAGAAAGCCACGGCUAACUACGUGCCAGCAGCCGCGGUAACAC